rnacentral:rRNA from 1 species
CAGUCGCCGCGGGAAUACGUAGGGUGCAAGCGUUAAUCGGAAUUACUGGGCGUAAAGCGUGCGCAGGCGGUUAUAUAAGACAGAUGUGAAAUCCCCGGGCUCAACCUGGGAACUGCAUUUGUGACUGUAUAGCUAGAGUACGGCAGAGGGGGAUGGAAUUCCGCGUGUAGCAGUGAAAUGCGUAGAUAUGCGGAGGAACACCGAUGGCGAAGGCAAUCCCCUGGGCCUGUACUGACGCUCAUGCACGAAAGCGUGGGGAGCAAACAGGAUUAGAUACCCCGGUAGUCCCUGUCUCUAAUAC